rnacentral:rRNA from 1 species
AUUGAACGCUGGCGGCAGGCCUAACACAUGCAAGUCGAGCGGAUGAAGGGAGCUUGCUCCUGGAUUCAGCGGCGGACGGGUGAGUAAUGCCUAGGAAUCUGCCUGGUAGUGAGGGAUAACGUCCGGAAACGGGCGCUAAUACCGCAUACGUCCUGAGGGAGAAAGUGGGGGAUCUUCGGACCUCACGCUAUCAGAUGAGCCUAGGUCGGAUUAGCUAGUUGGUGGGGUAAAGGCCUACCAAGGCGACGAUCCGUAACUGGUCUGAGAGGAUGAUCAGUCACACUGGAACUGAGACACGGUCCAGACUCCUAAGGGAGGCAGCAGUGGGGAAUAUUGGACAAUGGGCGAAAGCCUGAUCCAGCCAUGCCGCGUGUGUGAAGAAGGUCUUCGGAUUGUAAAGCACUUUAAGUUGGGAGGAAGGGCAGUAAGUUAAUACCUUGCUGUUUUGACGUUACCAACAGAAUAAGCACCGGCUAACUUCGUG